rnacentral:rRNA from 1 species
UACCAUGCAGUCGAACGAUGAAGCCCUUCGGGGUGGAUUAGUGGCGAACGGGUGAGUAACACGUGGGCAAUCUGCCCUUCACUCUGGGACAAGCCCUGGAAACGGGGUCUAAUACCGGAUAACACUUUCCUCUGCAUGGGGGAAGGUUGAAAGCUCCGGCGGUGAAGGAUGAGCCCGCGGCCUAUCAGCUUGUUGGUGGGGUGAUGGCCCACCAAGGCGACGACGGGUAGCCGGCCUGAGAGGGCGACCGGCCACACUGGGACUGAGACACGGCCCAGACUCCUACGGGAGGCAGCAGUGGGGAAUAUUGCACAAUGGGCGAAAGCCUGAUGCAGCGACGCCGCGUGAGGGAUGACGGCCUUCGGGUUGUAAACCUCUUUCAGCAGGGAAGAAGCGAAAGUGACGGUACCUGCAGAAGAAGCGCCGGCUAACUACGUGCCAGCAGCCGCGGUAAUACGUAGGGCGCAAGCGUUGUCCGGAAUUAUUGGGCGUAAAGAGCUCGUAGGCGGCUUGUCGCGUCGGAUGUGAAAGCCCGGGGCUUAACCCCGGGUCUGCAUUCGAUACGGGCAGGCUAGAGUGUGGUAGGGGAGAUCGGAAUUCCUGGUGUAGCGGUGAAAUGCGCAGAUAUCAGGAGGAACACCGGUGGCGAAGGCGGAUCUCUGGGCCAUUACUGACGCUGAGGAGCGAAAGCGUGGGGAGCGAA